CGUAUGGUAAAUUGAGAUUUGAAGGUUG
rnacentral:sRNA from 1 species